rnacentral:rRNA from 1 species
CCUACGGGAGGCAGCAGUGGGGAAUAUUGGGCAAUGGGCGCAAGCCUGACCCAGCAACGCCGCGUGAAGGAAGAAGGCUUUCGGGUUGUAAACUUCUUUUGUCAGGGACGUAGCAAGUGACGGUACCUGACGAAUAAGCCACGGCUAACUACGUACAAGCAGCCGCGGUAAUACGUAGGUUGCAAGCGUUAUCCGGAUUUACUGGGUGUAAAGGGCGUGUAGGCGGGAAAGCAAGUCAGAUGUGAAAACCACGGGCUGAACUUGUGCCGGGCAUUUGAAACUGUUAUUCGUGAGUGCUGGGGAGGCAAUCGGAAUUCGGGGGGUAGCGGUGAAAGGCGUAGAUAUACGGAGGAACACCAGUGGCGAAGGCGGAUUGCUGGACAGUAACUGACGCUGAUGCGCGAAAGCGUGGGGAGCAAACAGGAUUAGAUACCCGUGUAGUC